CAGAGAAUAGUUUACAAAAAAAAUUUUAAUUUUGGAGAUUAAAGAUGAAGUAUAUAGACUUUUUCUCUGA
rnacentral:tRNA from 1 species